rnacentral:rRNA from 1 species
GACGAACGCUGGCGGCGUGCCUAAUACAUGCAAGUCGAACGCUUCUUUCCUCCCGAGUGCUUGCACUCAAUUGGAAAGAGGAGUGGCGGACGGGUGAGUAACACGUGGGUAACCUACCCAUCAGAGGGGGAUAACACUUGGAAACAGGUGCUAAUACCGCAUAACAGUUUAUGCCGCAUGGCAUAAGAGUGAAAGGCGCUUUCGGGUGUCGCUGAUGGAUGGACCCGCGGUGCAUUAGCUAGUUGGUGAGGUAACGGCUCACCAAGGCCACGAUGCAUAGCCGACCUGAGAGGGUGAUCGGCCACACUGGGACUGAGACACGGCCCAGACUCCUACGGGAGGCAGCAGUAGGGAAUCUUCGGCAAUGGACGAAAGUCUGACCGAGCAACGCCGCGUGAGUGAAGAAGGUUUUCGGAUCGUAAAACUCUGUUGUUAGAGAAGAACAAGGACGUUAGUAACUGAACGUCCCCUGACAGUAUCUAACCAGAAAGCCACGGCUAACUACGUG